rnacentral:rRNA from 1 species
AUUGAACGCUGGCGGCAUGCCUAACACAUGCAAGUCGAACGGCAGCACGGCAGUAGCAAUACUGUGGGUGGCGAGUGGCGGACGGGUGAGGAAUACGUCGGAAUCUGCCCAGUCGUGGGGGAUAACUAGCCGAAAGGUUAGCUAAUACCGCAUACGACCGAGAGGUGAAAGCGGGGGACCGCAAGGCCUCGCUCGAUUGGAUGAGCCGACGUCGGAUUAGCUAGUUGGAGGGGUAAAGGCCCACCAAGGCGACGAUCCGUAGCUGGUCUGAGAGGAUGAUCAGCCACACUGGAACUGAGACACGGUCCAGACUCCUACGGGAGGCAGCAGUGGGGAAUAUUGGACAAUGGGCGCAAGCCUGAUCCAGCAAUGCCGCGUGUGUGAAGAAGGCCUUCGGUUGUAAGCACUUUAUCAGGACGAAAAGACGUUGGAGUUAAUACUCUGACGUGCUGACGGUACCUGAGGAAUAAGACACCGGCUAAC